CAGCUGUCCUAGUCCAUAGAAUGAGAAGAAGAAACCUUUUGUGCUUCUCUGUGCCAUUGACCUCAUUGCUUGAAAACAAGGAAGCCCUUUCUAUCCUGGGAAAGUCUGGUAACUGCUCCAUGGCUGCUUCUGGGGAAAGGUGCCAAGCCACAUCCCGUGAGGGGACAGCAGGUGCAGCACAGAGAGUGGGCUAUCGUCCUGCCUCAGCCUUGCGGUCUUGGACACUGCCUUUAACUUUCUGGGACCUCUCUUUCUACCACCUGCAAAACAAGGGGGCUCUGCAGACCACCCUGCUUUGGCGAUCUUGCCUUCCCUGAGACAAAUGCCGCAGCCAUGGGAGAGAAGGCAGGGUCCCCAUCCUCGUGGGUCUCCUACCAGGCCUAGGGCUUCCCCCAGGCCUGCUGACCCAGGAGGACUCAUCACAGCUCCUCCUCAGCUAAGAAUCUACUUUCUUUCCCUUCUAAGAUUUGACUUACCUCUCUGUCUAAUAAAAAAGCAGAAUUGAUCAGACUGGGGGAGCAGAUGGGGUCUCAGCAUGAAACACCAAAGAAACCCUCUGGUGAUCACUCCACCUCUGUACACACUCACGUACACACACACACACACACACACACACACACACACACACACACCUGCACACACACACACACACACACACACACACACACACACACACCUGAACCGAAAUCUAAACACAUUUUCCUGUCUGUGUAUCAACCUUUUACACUUUCUUUUUAAUUUUUUUAUUUUUUUGGUACCGGGGAUCGAGCUCAGGCCCUUGCGCUUGCGAAGCAGGAGGCAGAACCACUGAGCCGAAGGCCCGACCCUUACCCUUUCUUGCUGCCAGUGUGUUGAAAUAGGAUUCAAUCCCACAGUGCAAAAGCACUGCUCCCACUUUAGGGUCCUCAGCUAGAGCUCCAUGUUUGGGGGUAACCUUAGGCAAAGCUAAAGGCCCUAACACUUCAGCCCAAAAAUGCAGACUUUACCAGCUGGGACUGCGGCAGUGACUGGUGAGCACAGUGCCGGGAUCCAGAGCCUUCCUUCCUUCUCUUCCAGUCCCCCUCCGCCCCCAGCUGUAGAUAUGUUGUUCUAUAAAGGCAGCUGCCUGCUCAAGCCUGCCUCUCUGCCUGCAUACAGUGCCGUGGACUUGUUCUGUGUAUGUGUGUCCUGCCUC
rnacentral:lncRNA from 1 species